CUGUAUGCAUUCACCAUUUAUGUAACCCCGCAGGCUAGACCACCUGGAGACCUCAUGAAGACCUCAUAAACCCAGGCCCAGGUGGGCAAGCUGCCCGGGAAAGGAGGCAUUGAGCGGUCAAGACCAAAUGACCUCAGAUGGACACACCAGGUAGCACAUGUGACCAAAGAACCUCUUCCUAUUGUGGGAAUCUGAAGACCCAAGUUUGAGUCCUAGGCUCCUCCUAGUGGGUGGCUCCUCCCUUCUGUGUCUUGGUGACCAUGUGUAAAGUGCUGGGAAUCAAACACGGGGCCUUGUGCAUGUUAGGCAAAUGUGCUACCGGCUCUGUGUUGAUACAGUUUGGAACCCCACCGUGAUUUCAAAGACAGCAUUGAUCUCUAAUACGCAUCUGGAAACCACUACGGGCUCUCGCUGUCUUCAGGAGCCCCUCUCAAAACUCACACCCAAUGCAAACAAGGGCAGAGAUAGAGCUUCAAGAAGGGAGACUCUCUGCAACCUCGUUAUAACUGUUGGUUUCUAUUCAAAAAGUCAAUUCU